CCUAAGUUUAUAACCUUUUGUUUCUUUUCUCACACGUGCCCUAGCCAUUCUCACCGCCGAACCCAUCUCCCUUCUCCCCUCUCGCGCGAAGCCGAGCCACAACCGCCCCAACCCAACGCCGACGGUCUCUUCAUCUUCCCAACCGGCGCCGCCCUCCCGACGCCUCGCUUCCUCUCCCGACUCUUCUUCCUCAAUCUGACGCCUCCCUUCCUCUCAUCCGCCUCGAUCUGUGUCGACUCCCCCUACACAUCGCUCAACACCGACGCCACUGCCACCACCCUCUCUGACCACCGUCUUCCUCCUUUAAGUGGACACUCAAGGCUUACAAGAGCCCUAGAUCUGAUCACUGUGUGCCGCCGUCCUUGUCGCCACCUUGUGCCCUAGAUUGGGUCUCUCACCACUGCACCUCUGCACGGGUUGAUCUUCGGUCGAGAGCAAGGUUCCAAGCCCUACCUCUUUUUUGGUAGGUGUUGGUACUAUCGAGCCUUAGCCUCGUAAUUCUUUUGAUCUCGUCUUCUCCUCACCACUGUUGCCAGCAGCUAGCCGUCGACAGCCAGUCCCGAUCAAUGUCACAGUAAACCACCGGAAAGGAAAGAGGUCAGCGACUGAUUUGGGGAGUGAUCGUUCCGGCAGUAGGAUUGUGGUAGCUCAGGGCACAGAGCUCCGGUAGCAGGCACCUUCAAUUAGCAUUUUCUAGCAGUCACUCUCUAACCAUGGUCAACAGGGAAGUCUCCGACUUGGGACUGUGAUUGAGACAGUUGUCGUGACAGGGCGUCAUUUGGUUCAGACUACAUAUUAAAGACGGGUUGAAGUUGUCAGGAGGUUCCAGUUAGUAGUCCCCUUGUCACAAGAGUUUACAUAUUAGUCUUUUGGUAUUUUGUUUAUUUGCUUAGAGUUGUGUUUCAGACUUGUAUUGGUUUUGCACCCUGGAUUUUGUAUGAUUUUUCUUAAGGCAUUGUAAUGGUUGGUCUUUUGCUUGAUUGGUGGGUUUCUAUUUGAUAUGUUUUGCUACUCGCCUGUCGGACGACAGAAGAUGUGAGUUUGGAUGUUGUUUUCGAUUUCUUUUCGUAUUGUGAUGACAACCAGAGGCUGAUAUAUUAUAACUACGUGGAUUGUUUCA